GCUUCUAUAGCUUAAAGGUAAAGCAAGAUACUGUUAAUAUUUAGAUAAAUGUUCAAUUCAUUUUAGAAGCU
rfam:Paracoccidioides brasiliensis strain Pb18 mitochondrion, complete genome.